rnacentral:rRNA from 1 species
ACCAUGCAGUCGNACNGNGACANCCAAGCAGCUUGCUGCUUCGCUGACGAGUGGCGGACGGGUGAGUAAUGUCUGGGAAACUGCCUGAUGGAGGGGGAUAACUACUGGAAACGGUAGCUAAUACCGCAUAACGUCGCAAGACCAAAGAGUAGGGGGACCUUCGGGCCUCUUGCCAUCGGAUGUGCCCAGAUGGGAUUAGCUAGUAGGUGGGGUAACGGCUCACCUAGGCGACGAUCCCUAGCUGGUCUGAGAGCGAUGACCAGCCACACUCCGGAACUACGAGACACGGUCCAGACUCCUAGCGGGAGGCAGCAGUGGGGAAUAUUGCAAUUCAGGGCACAAUGGGCGCAAGCCUGAUGCAGCCAUGCCGCGUGUAUGAAGAAGGCCUUCGGGUUGUAAAGUACUUUCAGCGGGGAGGAAGGCGAUAAGGUUAAUAACCUUGUCGAUUGACGUUACCCGCAGAAGAAUGCACCGGCUAACUCCGUGCCAGCAGCCCGCGGUAAUACGGAGGGUGCAAGCGUUAAUCGGAAUUACUGGGCGUAAAGCGCACCGCAGGCGGUCUGUCAAGUCUACGGAUGUGAAAUCCCCGGGCUCAACCUGGGAACUGCAUUCGAAACUGGAUGCAGGCUAGAGUCUUGUAGAGGGGGGUAGAAUUCCAGGUGUAGCGGUGAAAUGCGUAGAGAUCUGGAGGAAUAGGCCGGUGGCGAAGGCGGCCCCCUGGU